GUACUCCUCCCUCCGUCCCAAAAUUCUUGUCUUAUGUUUGUCUAGAUACGGAUGCAUCUAAUACUAAAACGCGGCUUGAUACAUCCGCAUUUAGACAAAUUUAAGACAAGAAUUUUGGGAUGGGGGGAGUAGUAC
rfam:Triticum aestivum genome assembly, contig: Triticum_aestivum_CS42_TGACv1_scaffold_288395_4AL